rnacentral:misc_RNA from 1 species
AAUGCCUGCGUUUCGCUUGUACUUUUCGUGCUUCAGCAGCACUUGAUGCUGUUUUCAGAACCAUUGAGAUCGAAGUCAGUGGUGGAAUUGGAUAGUUCCGAAUCGUUGUUAAAAACAACAAAGACAGAUAUAUGACGUAGGAACGCAACAUCGAGAAGCUGUUCGUCUGAACUGGGCCUUAGACUAAAGACAUAUUAUUCAAUUAUUUUAAGUUGUCACUGUACCAUAAGAAUGGCUGCUGUUUCUAUUAUGACAGCUGGAGGUGUCUUUGGACGUAUUGUGUCAUUAGUUUUGAAAGGAUUAAGAUUUUCAGAGAGACGCAGUGCGGUACCGAUCUAAAGCAAUGCCUUUGGCCAACGCAGCAAUACCAAGAUAUGAACUAUAAUUGAAAAUCGAUAUUCGUUCCUUUUUACUUUUUGUACACAAAAUCAAACUUGCCCUGACUGGGUUGCGUCCUGUGUGACGGUCCUUCUGACUGCAUUCAAACAGAUGAAAAACGCAAUUACGAGCAAUUAAGAGGGGAAUGUUUCGCCUGUCUGAUUGGUCGAAGGAAUCUCCUCGCGCGAGAACGUUGAAACAAUUAAUCAUCAAUUAAAUCACGGGCUUAAAAAAUCAACAAUAUUGCAAUUUGCGUGAUUUAACUACGUACGGUAAUCAGGAAACGAGAAAGCUGGAAAUACGAUAAAAAUUAAGUUUUCUAUAUAAAAAUGGAGAACAAAUGAAAAUGAAGAAAAUAGUUUUAAAGAGCUUGCGCGACUAGCUUUUGAAAAAGCAAUUUUCUCAUUGACAGCGUAAUCAAGACGUUCACAAUGAAACUAUCGAUAGGAGUAUCGACAAUUGAGAAAUAGAAGUACUCUACUUUUUGCGAUGAGAUGCGUGCCUGCUAAUUUCAUGGGACACUGAAGAUUCGUAACAGUGUGAAAUAAUUGAAAAAUGCGCUGACAAAUGGAAAUCGAUAUCCGGAAGAUUGGAACUGAAAUAUAAAGUGAUCUUCGUGGUCUCAUUUGUAUAAAUCGAUAAAACUUUCGUAAAUGAAUUGUUCAAUAGUGAUGACGUUUCAUUUCAGAAAUUCUCAUUCUGUGGUUAUCUACGAAAAGAUAGUUGCUCAUAGAGAUAAUUAUUUGCAAACAUGAAUUAUAAUUAUGAG